ACUAGAAAAAAACUUUUAUUGAAAUUACCAAAGACUGUACAUGUAUGUGUAAUUCAGUAGUUGGCAGUUGUUUUUUUUUUAGAGAUCCUCAGUGCUUCAAAAGGUUGAGAACCAGCCACUUACUAUAUGGCUGGCACUGUUUUAAAUGCUUUACAGAUGUUAAGACUGGCCUGAUUCUCAUAACAAUCCUAUGAGAUAGAUCUCAAUUUAUGAUGCUUCCAUGGGGGACUUUUUGGCUCUGCUAUGGUGUGAAAGCAAUGUGCUCUCAGGAGAACUUAGAGUUGUGAUACCUGAUCUUUCCCAAGCCAGUGAGGUGGGGUACAGAUUCUCCUUCUCCAUAUGAGACAGGUAGCACGUGUGAUCACAAGGGUGGACCAUUGGUUCCCGACAGUGUGCUGUGUUAUGGGCAUUUUUUUUUUUUGUGGGGGAUACAGGUAUUCGAUAAAUUACAUGAGAUAUUGAAUGACUAAUUAUAAAAUAAGAUUUGUGCUAGCUUAUUUUGCCUAACUCCAGGCCAAUGUGAGUGUUCUGAGCAUGUUUAACAUAGAUGAGACUAAGCUAUGAUGUUCUAUAUGAUGGGAUAGUCACUUCAACUUGAAAUAUUUUUAACUUAAUGAUGGAUUUUUCAGGAUAUAACCCCAUUAAAAGUUGAGAAGCAUUUGUAUUCCUAAACUCCAUUUUAUAGGUGAGAAAAUUAGGUCCCAGAAAAAUUAAGUAACCUGCCUAAAGUCAAGUCAAGAUUCAAGCCCUGAAAUCUAGUUAAAGCCAUGGUCUUAACGAGGUUCCAUGGAACAGACCAGCAACAGGUUAACAGUGUUUGAGAUCCUACUAGAAAUCCAAUAGGGAUGCCAAGUGGCCACUGGAUAUGUGUGUCUGAAGUUUCGGAGAUUGGAACUGACAUAAAUUUGGUCAUCCUGGACAUACAGAUAAUGUAAAAAACACAAGAUUGUGUAAAAAUCACCUAUCAAAGAGUGUGUCCAAAGAGGAAAGGAAGAGUCAAUCUCUAUAAACUGAAAACUGAUUAGCAAAAUGAGUAAGAGGAAUCUUAUUGGGGUAAGGGAAAUGUUCUAAAUUGUGGUGAUUGUGGUGAUGGUUGUGCAGCUCCAUAAAUUUAUAAAAAAAUCAUUGAAUAAUACAUUUAAAAUGUGUGAAUUUUAUGCUAUAUAAAUUAGAUCUCAAUUAUAUUGGGGGGGAUACUGGGAGUUGAAUCCGGAGGUUCUUUGCCACUGAGACAUAUCCCCACCCCCCUUUUAUUUUGGUACCAGGGAUUGAACUCAGGGGCAUUCAACCAUGGAGCCACAUCCCCAUCCCUUUAUUAUAUUUUAUUUAGAGACAGGGCUUCAUUGAGUUGCUUAGUGCCUCGCUGAGUUGCUGAGGCUGACUUUGAACUUGUGAUCCUCUUACCUCAGCCUCCUGAGCCUGGGAUUACAGGUGUGCAUCACCACGCCCAGCUCCCCAUUCCUUUUUAUUUUGAGACAGGUUCUCACUAAGUUGGUGAAGCAGGCCUCCAAUUUGCAAUCCUCCUGCCUCAGCCUCCAGAGUUGCUGGGAUUUAUAGAUGUGUGUCACUGUGCCCAGCUUAAAUAAGGUUUUAAAAAUUUAAAAAGAAAAGAACUGUGGCACUCCAAUAUUUAGAGCUGAGAGGAGGAGGAACCUGAAAAGAUGUAAUGCAGAGAUUGAAGGGAAACAGGAGACUGUGGUGUUGCAGAAGUUGGGGGUGGAGAGGAAGAGGAAGUGGUCAAUUGUUUUGAAAGUCCUGAGUGUUUGCAGAAGAAAGGACAGAGAAGUGAUCACUGGACUUUGCAAGUUGAGGUUGUGCAGAGACCUGUGUUUAUGGAGUAGUGAAGAUGAAAGUAAAAUCAG
rnacentral:lncRNA from 1 species